UGGGGAAUUUUGGACAAUGGACGCAAGUCUGAUCCAGCAAUGCCGCGUGCGGGAAGAAGGCCUUCGGGUUGUAAACCGCUUUUGUCAGGGAAGAAAUCUUCUGGGUUAAUACCUCGGGAGGAUGACGGUACCUGAAGAAUAAGCACCGGCUAACUACGUGCCAGCAGCCGCGGUAAUACGUAGGGUGCAAGCGUUAAUCGGAAUUACUGGGCGUAAAGCGUGCGCAGGCGGUUAUGCAAGACAGAUGUGAAAUCCCCGGGCUCAACCUGGGAACUGCAUUUGUGACUGCAUAGCUUGAGUGCGGCAGAGGGGGAUGGAAUUCCGCGUGUAGCAGUGAAAUGCGUAGAUAUGCGGAGGAACACCGAUGGCGAAGGCAAUCCCCUGGGCCUGCACUGACGCUCAUGCACGAAAGCGUGGGGAGCAAACAGGAUUAGAUACCCUGGUAGUCCACGCCCUAAACGAUGUCAACUGGUUGUUGGGAAGGUUCCUUCUCAGUAACGAAGCUAACGCGUGAAGUUGACCGCC
rnacentral:rRNA from 1 species